AUUGAACGCUGGCGGCAGGCCUAACACAUGCAAGUAGAACGAGUGGCGGACGGGUGCGUAAUGUCUGGGAAACUGCCCGAUGGAGGGGGAUACAUACUGGAAACGGUAGCCAAUACCGCAUACAAUCGGAUGGGCCCAGAUGGGAGUAGCUAGUAGGGGGGGUAACGGCUCACCGAGGCGACGAUCCCUAGCUGGUCUGAGAGGAUGACCAUCCACACUGGAACUGAGACACGGUCCAGACUCCUACGGGAGGCAGCAGUGGGGAAUAUUGCACAAUGGGCGCAAGCCUGAUGCAGCCAUGCCGCGUGUAUGAAGAAGGUCUUCGGAUUGUAAAGUACUUUCAGCUGGGAGGCGUUACCCGCAGAAGAAGCAUCGGCUAACUCCGUGCCAGCAGCCGCGGUAAUAC
rnacentral:rRNA from 1 species